rnacentral:rRNA from 1 species
UACAGGGGGUGCAAACGUUGCUCGGAAUCAUUGGGCGUAAAGCGCACGUAGGCGGUCUGUUAUGUCGGAUGUGAAAGCCCUUGGCUUAACUGAGGAAGUGCAUCCGAAACUGGCAGGCUAGAGUACUAAAGAGGGUCGCGGAAUUCCUGGUGUAGCGGUGAAAUGCGUAGAUAUCAGGAGGAACACCUGCGGUGUAGACGGCUUUCUGGACCAUUGUUGACGCUGAGACACGAAAGCGUGGGUAGCAAACAGG